CUGUCUCUACUGACAAUAGGCAUUUUUGCUUACUAUUGACAGUUUGCAUAUGUGUUUCCACAUGUGCUUUCCUGAUUUUUCAGAUUAAUUCUAUCAAUGGCUUAAAAUCCUGCUGUGGUUCUCCUGAACUAUUCUGUUUUUCCCUGAGGACUCUGGUUCCUUCCUGUAUGGUCUGCUGUCUUUUGCUGUUUUACCUUUUUGCAUUGUAUGUCUGAAAGCUCCUGAAGAAUCUCA